rnacentral:lncRNA from 1 species
UCCUAAGGCCAAAAAAAGCUUCUGUUAAAUUUGGUUGUGGAUGGAGGAAAUUUUGUCAGAUACAUGUACUGUGUGAAGACCACAAACUGAUCUUUGAAAGUGGACUAACCCCAAUUCAUAUGAUGGUGUUGUUAGUGCUUCAAAAUUCAAUAUUGUAUUCAGAAUUUAUUUAUAGAUAGAUGUAAUUUCCAAAUUGUUGUAAUGUCGAGUAUAGAAAAUUAAUUCUUUACUUUAUUUUGG